rnacentral:rRNA from 1 species
AUACGGAGGAUCCGAGCGUUAUCCGGAUUUAUUGGGUUUAAAGGGUGCGCAGGCGGGAGAUUAAGUCGGCGGUGAAAUUUUUCAGCUCAACUGUAAAAGUGCCUUCGAAACUGGUUUUCUUUAGUGUCGAUGAAGGAGGCGGAAUUUGUGGGGUAGCGGUGAAAUGCAUAGAUAUCACGAGGAACUCCGAUUGCGCAGGCAGCUUACUAAACUACUACUGACGCUCAGGCACGAAGGCGUGGGGAUCAAACAGGAUUAGAUACCCUGGUAGUCCACGCAGUAAACGAUGAUUACUAGCUGUUUGCGAUACAAUGUAAGCGGCUGAGCGAAAGCGUUAAGUAAUCCACCUGGGGAGUACGUUCGCAAGAAUGAAACUCAAAGGAAUUGACGGG